rnacentral:lncRNA from 1 species
CAAUGUUAUAACUUACAUAAUGUUAACGAUUUUAAUUUUUGUGUUAGCACAUACACUGUAUGUUCUGAUCAGAAAGUGCAAAAGGAAAUUUGCCUUUUUCCAUUGAUUAUUGUACAGAAAUACAUGUUAAUUUUAGCGUCGAAGAUAGUACCUGAUACAUCGAUUUUCAUUCUACACUUUUAAUUGUUUUGAAAAACUAAAUAUGUUAUUAUCCGAGGAAUAGAUUACCUUAGCGUAUUUGGCACAACUUUUUUGGAAUUUUGAAUCCUCAAUGCCCUUCAACUUCGUACUUGUUUGGGUUAUAAAUAUUUUGAAAUGAGUAUCACGGAUGGGUCUUAUGAAGACAAAACGCGCGUCUUGCGUACUUACUUAUAAUCAUGGUACCUUUGAUAACUAUAUACAUCAAUUUUCAUUCUACAAUCAUUGCAUUAACUAUGUUAUAUUGCGAUCUAUUCAACCUUCGUAUUUAAAGUACCCCGGGAAAUGUUUUGUUGGUUAGGCCAAGUGAACAACCUAGAGAGGACCCACACUAGCAGCUUAGAAUAAAUGUCUCUAUUCCUAGAACAGAUAUAGGUGCAUAGAUAUUUUUCCUCCCUCGCCUUUUGCCAAAC